CUCUUUUUAUUAUUUUUAUUUGUCAUUCAUUUUCUAUUUCGUUGCUCCUUCCUUCAAGCUGUCCAGCCCAUUUUUAUUUUAACAAUUUGGAUUGCAUUUCUUUUUUACAAAAUUUCAAAACCCUAAUCGACCAGUCAGUACGAGCUAGAGAGCGAAGGAAAGUGCAAAGGGAAUGAAGGAGAAGACGGAGGAUAUGGCGAAGGAGGGGUCGAAGAAGGCGACGGAGACGGUGCAGAAUAUUGGGGAGAAGGCGAAGAGGACGGUGGAAGGGGCAUGGGAGGCAGCGAAGGAUACAACGCAAAAGAUAAAGGAGAGGGUUGUAGGGUCAGAUGAAGAUGAGGGGGAAGAAGGGAGAGGGGGGAAGAAGUUGGAUGAUUGAAAUAAUGGGUGGAGUUCCUUAGAGUUGCAUCAAUGAAAUUUCAUGUUGUUUUAGGCUUUUGAUCCAAAGAUGUUCAAUGUGUUUGUGGGAACUAUGGAAUAAGGUAGAUAUUUGAAGGAAAUUUGUUUUGUUAUCCUCUUUCUAAGUGUCUAUGAAUUUAAACACAAAGGAAUUUAUUUGGGGUAUAUACGUUGGGUCCAGAUUUGUUGCUCUUUCGGCCAAGAGCUUUGAUAUGUGUUGUCCACUUCAAAGGGCAAGGUGAGAUGAACCAGUAUUUUUCUUUUCAAUUUUUUCAUGGUCUACUUCUUUCUUCUUUCUUUUUUUUUUAGUUUUUUAUGGCUUUCUUUCUCUAUCUUUUAGCUUUAAUAAUGGUGGCUCUAAAUCAUUUUGAACCCCAUUUUCUUUGAUUUGGCUUUGUGGGUGUUGGAAUCUCCGUCGAAAAUUUGUGUUUUGAGCUUAAUUUGUGGAAGGGUUUUGAUUGAUAAGGCUUCUAGUGGGUGGAGUCUAAGUGGGUUGCUUCGAUUUUGUGCCAUGGUUGUGAUUGAAGAGGGAAAAUUGUAAUGGAGGAGAGUGUCGGUUGAAAAGAGUCAAGGGAUUGGUCACAUUGUGCCUGAAAAUGAGACGUUUGGCCAUUUGAUUGAAGAACAUGGACGUGAGAGUAGCCGUGCUCUGAUUUUCUUACAUCAGAGACCACAAAGACCACAGGGCUUGAGGAGCACAGUCAUAGCGGCUAUGAGGACUCAUCUUCCCCUUCUUCAUUGAGUUGGUCCACUCGAAAAGCUGACGAACCCGAUUGUAUUAGACUUAAUGUUGCUGAUAAAGUAGAAAAAAUUAUGUUGUUAAUAGGAAGCUGGGGAAGAAAGUAUCUUCAUCAUCAGGUAAUUUUAAUCCUCUUUCCUUUAUGGGGUUUCUCCAUAUAAAUUGUAUUAAUAUUUUAAUGGUGUGUGGGGCUAUAGAGAUUGAGAUGAUGAAGGAAAGAUUUUCUAAACUGCUGCUUCGAGAAGAUAUGUUAGGCUGCGGAAAUGGGGUUCGUACGACAUUGGCUAUAUCUAAUGCCAUUACAAAUAUUUGUGAUAUGCUUUGUCUCUUUUACACACCAUUGUCUAAUAUUCUAUCUAGGAUGGGCAUUGGUUACAGUGUCUAAUGAUUCUCUUCCCCAUUGUUUUUGUUAUAGCCACUCUGUUUAGGCAAUUAGAACCUAUUCCCCAACGGAAGAAAGUGCUCGGCUUCUUUGUGUUAGCAAUCAUUGAUGCCUACUUGGCAGGCAAGCUUGAGGCACUGAAUAAGGAUAACUUCAAACAGGUUUUUUUAUGGCAGUAUGGGUUUUUGGAAAAUAAACUUUUUGCAGGAAGUAUUAGAUAGUUUUGAAGUUUUCCUAAACCCUAAACUCUCCUCGCGUCGUUGAAGGAAGCUCUAAAUUCGACCAAGGAGUUGCUUAGACUUGAGAGCAAGGGGAGCAAGGUUUGUCUGGUGCGUUUUCUCUACUUUUUGUGUGCUAUCUGUUCAAUUAGCGCGGUCUACCCUGCAAUGUUGUGAAUUGUUGAACAAGUUUGGGCAAAGAUCUGGUCAAGUUUGGGGCUUGAAGGAGCUGCUUUGACAGCUUCUAUUUAAUCAUAGAUAGUUUUUUUGGUUGUGGUCGCUCACAUGCUUAAGUCUCAUAAAUGUAAGCUCACAUGGAAAGGAUUCUCUUUGAAGCUUUUAUGCAAUGUAUUAUUCUAAUUCACUUCCACUUCGAACUUUAUUUGGACUCAAAUCUUCCUAUAUUGUGAUAACUUUAUUUGAAAUUUUAAAUGCAUCAUCACCUACUUUAGUUGAUGUAGGUGGACAAGAGCUUGGAGGAAUACAUUAUGUCACAUUAUUUGUCGAAGAAAUGGAAGGUGAUAGAAGACUUACAAUACAAAGGCAUGAAGCAAUCCCAGACAAUCGAGCAUCCAUCCAAAUAAUGGAGAAUACUUUAUUUUGUAUUGUUUGAAGUUACUAAAUACUCAUUUUGUAAUGUAAAUAGAUGAUGAAAUUUAAAUUGUGAAUGGAAAUUACAGUAUUUAACUUGGAAUGAAUUGUUUGUGUGUA